CAGCUCUCUCCCUUCGUCACUUGCUGGGAGGGACCCAGUGGGCCGGCAGGAAGCACCAGGACCAUCUGAGUGACCCUCACCUUUUCCAGCCUCAGACCCUGUUCAGGGGCUGCUGCAGCAGAAGCAGACCAGAGAGAGCCUGUGACUUCCUCAAGGCCACACAGCAUGCUAGCAGCAAAGCCCUGCUCUGAACUCCAGGUACAGCUCGUUUGAUCUCCUAGCUGUCUCUUCAAUAUUUUGACACUUUGCAUCUCCUUUGCUCUCCCUGCCCAUAUGGCCUCAUCACUGGCUGUGGGACCAGUGGUCAUCGGCGUAGG